AGUGAACGCUGGCGGUAGGCCUAACACAUGCAAGUCGAACGGCAGCACAGUAAGAGCUUGCUCUUACGGGUGGCGAGUGGCGGACGGGUGAGGAAUACAUCGGAAUCUACUUUUUCGUGGGGGAUAACGUAGGGAAACUUACGCUAAUACCGCAUACGACCUACGGGUGAAAGCAGUGGAUCUUCGGACCUUGCGCGAUUGAAUGAGCCGAUGUCGGAUUAGCUAGUUGGCGGGGUAAAGGCCCACCAAGGCGACGAUCCGUAGCUGGUCUGAGAGGAUGAUCAGCCACACUAGAACUGAGACACGGUCCAGACUCCUAAGGGAAGCAGCAGUGGGGAAUAUUGGACAAUGGGCGCAAGUCUGAACCAGCCAAACCGCGUGAGUGAAGAAGGCCUUCGGGUUGUAAAACCCUUUUGUUGGGAAAGAAAAGCAGCAGGUUAAUACCCCGCUGUUCUGACGGUACCCAAAGAAUAAGCACCGGCUAACUUCGUG
rnacentral:rRNA from 1 species